rnacentral:rRNA from 1 species
GACGAACGCUGGCGGCGUGCUUAACACAUGCAAGUCGAACGGAAAGGCCUGGUUUUUCUUGUGGAUUGGGGGUACUCGGGUGGCGAACGGGUGCGUAACUCGCGAGUGUUUUGCACCCAAAUUGGGUAUAAACCCGGGAACUUGGGUCUAAUUCCCGAUAGGACUGCAGGGUGGAGACUGUGAUGGCAAUCGGUUUUCUAGUGGUUGGGGAUGAGCUCGCGGCCUAUCAGCUUGUUGGUGGGGUAAUGGCCUACCAAGACGGCGACUGGUAGCCGGCGUGAGAGCGGGGACAGCCACAUUGGGACUGGGUCACGACCCAUACGCCUACGAGAGGCAGCAGUGGGGAAGAUAGCAGAAUGGGCGGAAGGCUGAUGCAGCGAGGCCGUGUGGAAGAUGACGGCCUUCGAGUUGUAAGCUCCUAGCGACCGCGAAAAAUCCACCUGGGUGGGAGGGUGUUGACGGUAGUGGUAGAAGAAGCCCCGGCUAACUACGUG